UUUUUUUUUUUUUGAAACAGGGAUGUCCUGAAUGCAAUAUUAAGUUGUGUCUGUUGCUAUAGUAACAGGAUGAUAUAGAAAUACUGAUUGAGAUUCAUUCUUGACCCCAGAGGUUACAAAAUGGUACAGGGGAUAACAAUGGGUACAGGGCAUUAUAGAGAACAAAGUACCCAGAUACUCCAGGCUCAUUAAGGCUACCGGCAUUGAUAUGGAAUCUGUGUAGACAAUGAGUUAGCCUAACAGGGUGACCAACUCUUGCCAUCAGCAGUCACACCAAGAUAGGUCUGUGGACAGUAAAGGAUUAACCUUGUCCAAAGGAAAGGUGUGGCCCUUGCUAAACUCCUGGGAGUUAACCUCUGUGUCUUAGAAAUGUUCUACCUGAUAAGAGUAAGAGUAUCUUUGCUUAGGAGUCUUGGGCCAGGUAGCAUCAGCUUAACCUCUGAAGAGCUGGAGACUGAAGUCAGGCGCGUGGGCUGUCAGCCAUGCCUACAUGACUGGCCCCCAAUAAAAACCUUGGAUGCCAAGGCUUGGGUGAGCUGCCCUGGUUAGUAAUGAUCUAUGCACGUUGUGGCAUGUCAUUCCCGGAAGAAGGAAGUGCUGCUCCCUGACUCCACUGGGAGAGGACAACCAGAAGCUCACGCCUGGUCUCUCAUGGACUCUGCUCUGUACCCCUCUUCCUAUUAUAGGAGUUAAGAGAUUAUUUUAGGCAGAUAGAGAGGAAAGGGGGUCCUUAGGAAGUUUUUGUUUCUUUUAAAGCAGCUCCAGAAACAUUUCUUGUCUAGCAGAAAAGCCCUGGUUCUUAGAGCUGGACAGGCAGCCUUUGACAUGUAAAUACUGGCCGUUAGAAACUGGGUCCACCCAAACAUGGUGAUUCCCACCGUGGUCCUCUUGCCCUUGCUGCUACAUGUGCCUGGCAACAUGGCCGCCCCCAUGUAUCCCCAGGUAUGUAGAACAUCAUGGCGCCCUGUAUUUGCAUAUUAAAAGGAUAGGGUGGGAGGGCCGGUUGUUUCAUGGGCUAGGUAAAUGACAUGCCUGGUCAAACCAAUCCCCUAAGCCCUAUGGAAAUCAGGCACCGCCUCCUCCAGCCUCCUCAUAUAAGCAACCACUUUUCUGCCACACGGGGUUUUCUCUUUGUUGGAAUCCCCUGCCUCUGUGUCUGUACAGGAGAGCUUCUUCCUAACUUCUUUCUUGCCUAUUAAGCUCUCCACUCCUUAAAACCACUGCAUGUGUGUCCGUGUUGUUUUAUCCAAUUCGACUUGAGAGGAAGAACCCUGGUGUUCCUCCACUCAUCGGAGCCGUAUCAUUUUCUCUGCUGAUUUUAAUCUGUGUCCCUCCAUUGUAACAAAUUGUAACUGUGAGUAUAGCAACUCUUCUGAGUUCUGUGAAUCCUUCGAGAGAAUCAUGGAAGCUGACGGUGGUCUUGGGGACCCCCUGAACUGCAGCCUAUCUCUUCUUCCCACCGGAUGAGCUCCAAGGAAAGAAAGGGUGGGGAGAACAGAGCAGCCC
rnacentral:lncRNA from 1 species